rfam:Ancylostoma duodenale strain Zhejiang A_duodenale-1.0_Cont281.1, whole genome shotgun sequence.
GCCCUAUGACGAGAUUUACACGACGGUCUUCUGAAGUCAUAUCUGUAGACGCUAUACGUGUGCUGAGGC